rnacentral:rRNA from 1 species
AUGGUUUCGGCUAUCACUUUAGGGAUGGACCCGCGGUGCAUUUAGUUAGUUGGUGAGGUAAAGGCUCACCAAGACCGUGAUGCAUAGCCGACCUGAGAGGUAAUCGGCCACACUGGGACUGAGACACGGCCCAGACUCCUACGGGAGGCAGCAGUAGGGAAUCUUCCACAAUGGACGAAAGUCUGAUGGAGCAACGCCGCGUGAGUGAAGAAGGUUUUCGGAUCGUAAAACUCUGUUGUUGGAGAAGAAUGUAUCUGAUAGUAACUGAUCAGGUAGUGACGGUAUCCAACCAGAAAGCCACGGCUAACUACGUG